GCCUUCGUGGUGUAGUGGUCAGCACGUUUGAGGGGUAUUCGAGAUGUCCGUGGUUCGAAUCCCGGCGAGAGCA
rnacentral:tRNA from 1 species